AAGGGUUUUAAUUGUAUGAUAGGAUUUCGGAUAUGGUUGAUUGGAUAAUAAAUUGGUGUGGGUGUUUUGAAUGAGAUAUGUACAAUUAUAAGUUAAAUUUAAGGUUUGUUAAAUUUAUCCUUAUCAUUGCCGAAUGAGUUCAAUGGCUAAAGAAAAUUGUUAAGUGCUUAGUUAAUGUGCAUUCGGUCAUUUAGGAUGAGUAUACAUUUGAUAAUGUUUUGAUACUUUGAAAUGGAAUUUAAUUAUUAAUUAGUUAUAAGCUUGUUGAAUUUUGAGAUGUAAUUGGGAGUAAAUUUGAUAUGAGCAUAUUUUGUUAAUGACAUAUUGAUAAAUGUUGAGUUAAGAUACCAUGAUAUUAAGCUUAAAGGCAUUCGAUCAUGAGAUGGAUUAAGGUGAACUAAAUGAUAUUCGGCAAUGGUACUUUUUACAUGAGAAAUUCGGUGUUAAUUGUAUUAAAUGAGG
rnacentral:lncRNA from 1 species